UCCCGGGUGGCUCAGACGGUAAAGCAUCUGCCUACAAUGCAGGAGACCCGGGUUCGAUCCAUGGGUCGGGAA
rfam:TPA: Bos taurus chromosome 17, whole genome shotgun sequence.